AUGAUACCAACACGUCAUUGUGGCCAUUGUCCUGAGGAGUGGAUUACAUAUUCCAACAGUUGUUAUUACAUUGGUAAGGAAAGAAGAACUUGGGAAGAGAGUUUGCUGGCCUGUACUUCGAAGAACUCCAGUCUGCUUUCUAUAGAUAAUGAAGAAGAAAUGAAAUUUCUGGCCAGCAUUUUACCUUCCUCAUGGAUUGGUGUGUUUCGUAACAGCAGUCAUCAUCCAUGGGUGACAAUAAAUGGUUUGGCUUUCAAACAUAAGAUAAAAGACUCAGAUAAUGCUGAACUUAACUGUGCAGUGCUACAAGUAAAUCGACUUAAAUCAGCCCAGUGUGGAUCUUCAAUGAUAUAUCAUUGUAAGCAUAAGCUUUAGAAGUAAAGCAUUUGCGUUUGCAGUGCAUCAGAUACAUUUUAUAUUUCUUAAAAUAGAAAUAUUAUGAUUGCAUAAAUCUGAAAAUGAAUUAUGUUAUUUGCUCUGAUACAAAAAUUCUAAAUCAAUUAUUGAAAUAGGAUGCACACAAUUACUAAAGUACAGACAUCCUAGCAUUUGUGUCGGGCUCAUUUUGCUCAACAUGGUAUUUGUGGUUUUCAGCCUUUCUAAAAGUUGCAUGUUAUGUGAGUCAGCUUAUAGGAAGUACCAAGAACAGUCAAACCCAUGGAGACAGAAAGUAGAAUAGUGGUUGCCAAUGUCUCAGGGAGGUUGAAAUAGGAGAUGACCACUAAUUGAUAGAACGUUUCUUUGUGUCGUGAUGAAAACUUUCUAAAUUUCAGUAGUGGUGAUGGUUGUAACUCUGCGAAUAUACUAAACAUCAUUGAUUUUUAAUCAUUUUAAGUGCAUGAAAUGUAUGCUUUGUACAUGACACUUCAAUAAAGCUAUCCAG
rnacentral:lncRNA from 10 species